rnacentral:rRNA from 1 species
AAUCACUUGUCUUUUAAAUGAAGACCUGUAUGAAAGGUAUGACGAGGGCUUGACUGUCUCCUCUCUCCGGUCAGUGAAAUUGAUCUCCCCGUGCAGAAGCGGGGAUUCAAGCAUAAGACGAGAAGACCCUGUGGAGCUUAAGACAACCGGGUAGCCCAUGUCAAGGAUCCCACCUAAGGGAAAGAACUAAUUGGACCCUGCCCUAGUGUCUUAGGUUGGGGCGACCAUGGGGAACACCCAACCCCCAUGAGGACCGGGAGCACUGCAGGGAAAAUCCCCCAGCCUUUGACCACCCUCCUAGAAACCCGGGCUCCGGCCCUAGUUCACGAAAAAUUCGACCUAUACUGAUCCGGCCCAAGCCGAUCAACGGACCAAGUUACCCCAGGGAUAACAGCGCUAUCCCCUCCCAGAGCUCAUAUCGACGAGGGGGUUUACGACCUCGAUGUUGGAUCAGGACAUCCUAAUGGUGCAACCGCUAUUAAGGGUUCGUUUGUUCAACGAUUAA